rnacentral:rRNA from 1 species
UACGGGGGGGCAAGCGUUGUUCGGAAUUACUGGGCGUAAAGGGCUCGUAGGUGGCCAACUAAGUCAGACGUGAAAUCCCUCGGCUUAACCGGGGAACUGCGUCUGAUACUGGAUGGCUGGAGAUUGGGAGAGGGAUGCGGAAUUCCAGGUGUAGCGGUGAAAUGCGUAGAUAUCUGGAGGAACACCGGUGGCGAAGGCGGCAUCCUGGACCAACACUGACGCUGAGGUGCGAAAGCGUGGGGAGCAAACAGG